ACUCCUACGGGAGGCAGCAGUAGGGAAUCUUCCACAAUGGACGAAAGUACUGAUGGAGCAACGCCGCGUGAGUGAAGAAGGGUUUCGGCUCGUAAAACUACUGUUGUUAAAGAAGAACAUAUCUGAGAGUAACUGUUCAGGUAUUGACGGUAUUUAACCAGAAAGCCACGGCUAACUACGUGCCAGCAGCCGCGGUAAUACGUAGGUGGCAAGCGUUGUCCGGAUUUAUUGGGCGUAAAGCGAGCGCAGGCGGUUUUUAAGUUCUGAUGUGAAAGCCUUCGGCUCAACCGAAGAAGUGCAUCGGAAACUGGGAAACUUGAGUGCAGAAGAGGACAGUGGAACUCCAUGUGUAGCGGUGAAAUGCGUAGAUAUAUGGAAGAACACCAGUGGCGAAGGCGGCUGUCUGGUCUGUAACUGACGCUGAGGCUCGAAAGUAUGGGUUAGCAAACAGGAUUAGAUACCCUGGUAGGAUAGCG
rnacentral:rRNA from 1 species